rnacentral:sRNA from 1 species
UCCUCGAUCUGCUGCGGGCAGAUGAAGUGGAUGUGGCUGUCGAUGCCGCCGGCGGUGACGAUCAUGCCUUCGCCGGCGAUGAUCUCGGUGGCGCCGCCGAUGGCCAUGGUCACGCCGGGCUGGAUGUCGGGGUUGCCGGCCUUGCCGAUGCCAGCGAUCUUGCCGCCCUUGAUACCGAUGUCGGCCUUGACGAUGCCCCAGUGGUCGACGAUGAGGGCGUUGGUGAUGACGGUGUCCAUGACGUCGGCGUGGGCGCGCUGCGACUGGCCCAUGCCGUCGCGGA